GAUGAACGCUGGCGGCGUGCUUAACACAUGCAAGUCGAACGAUGAAAGCGGGAGCUUGCUCCUGCUGGAUUAGUGGCGAACGGGUGAGUAACACGUGAGCAAUCUGCCCCGAACUCUGGGAUAAGCGUUGGAAACGACGUCUAAUACCGGAUACGACGCGCGAAGGCAUCUUCUGCGCGUGGAAAGAACUUCGGUUCGGGAUGAGCUCGCGGCCUGUCAGCUAGUUGGUGAGGUAACGGCCCACCAAGGCGACGACGGGUAGCCGGCCUGAGAGGGUGACCGGCCACACUGGGACUGGGACACGGCCCAGACUCCUACGGGAGGCAGCAGUGGGGAAUAUUGCACAAUGGGCGCAAGCCUGAUGCAGCAACGCCGCGUGAGGGACGACGGCCUUCGGGUUGUAAACCUCUUUUAGUAGGGAAGAAGCGAAAGUGACGGUACCUGCAGAAAAAGCACCGGCUAACUACGUGCCAGCCGCCGCCGUAAGAC
rnacentral:rRNA from 1 species